GCAUUGGUGGGUCAGUGGUAGAAUUCUUGCCUGCCAUGUAGGAGGCCCUGGUUUGAUUCCCAGCCAAUGCA
rnacentral:tRNA from 1 species